rnacentral:lncRNA from 1 species
CUGACUGCGGCCUGUUCACUUUAUUCUCCUCGUGCCAGGAAGGAAGGGACUUAACUGGGUUGGCCAAGGUGGUCAAUCCUGAUCACCAGGGGGGAAUUGGGCUAUCACCCCAAAGUAGAGGUAAAGAAAAAUAUAUCCGGAAACUUUAGAGCAUCUCUUAGUAUCAUCAUGCCCUAGAUUGGUAGGACUUCUAAAUUUCACAUAAGCCUGGAUGUUAUACACCUCAGUGGUCCAGCAAAUCUAGCAGUAUGUCGUAUGUGUUCGAAUAUGUAGAAAAUGUGUCUGUAAGCCUGAUGCAUGAGAAUAGAGCAGGAUCUGCUAAAAAUACAGCAUCCGGUGCUGCCUCUCCACUUGUAAUAGAGGCCUGGCCAGCAGUGAACAGAAGUUGUCGAUGCAAAAUGAGCCGUGAAAAGCAAAUGAGAGAAAGGAAAAUGACGGUGACCAUAACGUGCAAGUGUUGUGCUAUCUAGGAGAAAAACAGAAGAGAAUAAAAAGAGAUACUAAAAGGGUCCUUGUAUUUGGAUAGCCUUGGAAGAUAUACAGCAAGGACCCUUGGGAUAAGAGGACUUGGCUGUGAUUCAAGGUAGAUUUGCCUUACAACAAAGCUGUAAACCAAAUAGCUUCCAUAGUUUCUAGAUUGUCAUAAGAGGAUUUCAA